AUGGCCAUCAAGGAGGCCGGCAACGUCAUUAAGAGGUUCCUGCCGUCUGAGUUCGGCUCUGACCCAGAGCGGGUUCACACCGUGGAUCCAGCAGCCACACUAUACGCUGGUAAAAUCAGCCUUCGCCGUCUGAUCGAGGAGGAGGGUAUACCUCAUACAUAUGUCUGCUGCAACGGGUUUGCCGAAACCUACCUUGUGAGCAUCGGCGAUGUUACGGCUCUUGGCGUUGGUCCUCCGUCCGACAAGAUCACUGUCCUAGGCGAUGGAGAUGCAAAAGGGGUGUUUGUGGUGGAAGAGGACAUAGCUGCCUACACGGUGAGAGCGAUCGAGGAUACGAGGACCCUGAACAAGAUCCUGUACAUGAGGCCGCCGGCGAACAUCGUGUCCCACAACGAGCUCAUCGCACUGUGGGAGAAGAAAGCAGGAAGGACUUUCCAGAUCGCACGCAUCCCAGAGGCGGAUCUCCUCAUGUUGAUCAAGGGUAGGGUACAUCCAUCCCAUCAUUGUGCCUCCCUUGAGAAUGUACUCGUAGCAUCUCUGACUGACCAUUCUUUGUUGACAUGCAUGUGUGACUAUGCAGAGGCGGCAUACCCUCUCAACAUGAUGUUGUCCCACUCGCUCUCCGUCUUGGUGAGGGGCGACCAGGCCAACUUCGACAUCGAGCCGUCCUUUGGCGUCGAGGCCACCGAGCUGUACCCUGACGUGAAGUACACCACCGUCGACGAGUACCUGGACCGCCUCCUCUGA
rnacentral:rRNA from 1 species